rnacentral:rRNA from 1 species
GUCUAUGGCCACACCACCCUGGACAAGCCCGAUCCCGUCUGAUCUCGGAAGCUCAGCAGGGUCGGGCCUGGUUAGUACUUGGAUGGGAGACCACCUAGGAAGACCGGGUGCUGUAGGCG